rnacentral:tRNA from 2 species
CGGGGCAUAGCGCAGUUUGGUAGCGCACCUGGCUUGGGACCAGGGGGUCGCGUGUUCGAAUCACGCUGCUCCGACCA